UGAGGAAUAUUGGUCAAUGGGCGUAAAGCGUGCGUAGGCUGUUUCGUAAGUCGUGUGUGAAAGGCGCGGGCUCAACCCGCGGACGGCACAUGAUACUGCGAGACUAGAGUAAUGGAGGGGGAACCGGAAUUCUCGGUGUAGCAGUGAAAUGCGUAGAUAUCGAGAGGAACACUCGUGGCGAAGGCGGGUUCCUGGACAUUAACUGACGCUGAGGCACGAAGGCCAGGGGAGCGAAAGGG
rnacentral:rRNA from 1 species